rnacentral:rRNA from 1 species
AUUGAACGCUGGCGGCAUGCUUUACACAUGCAAGUCGAACGGUAACAGGCCUUCGGGUGCUGACGAGUGGCGAACGGGUGAGUAAUGCAUCGGAACGUGCCCAGUGGUUGUGGAUAACGCAGCGCAAGCUGUGAUAAUACCUCAUGUGAUCUGAGGAUGAAAGCGGGGGACUACGCAGCAAUGUUUGGCUUCGCGCCUUUGGAACGGCCGAUGUCGGAUUAGGUAGUUGGUGGGGUAAAGGCUUACCAAGCCGACGCUCUGUAGCUGGUCUGAGAGGACGACCAGCCACACUGGGACUGAGACACGGCCCAGACUCCUACGGGAGGCAGCAGUGGGGAAUUUUGGGCAAUGGGCGCAAGCUUGAUCCAGCAAUGCCGCGUGCGGGAAGAAGGCCUUCGGGUUGUAAACCGCUGUUGUACGGAACGAACAGGCGCUGGCUAAUACCUGGGGCUGAUGACGGUACCGUAAGAAUAAGCACCGGCUAACUACGUG